AGUUCUGUUCUGGCCUGUGAAUAAACAAGAACUGUUUGAAGAAUUGCUGUGUUGUCUGAUAUGUUCACCCACAACUUAACAACCUUUACCUUCCUUUGUUACGGAGAUUGGCUGAUUUGCUCUCAACAACUGUCCUUCUGAAUGGAUAGGAAAGACCAGCUAAGGGUGAGGUAAUCUAAGGGGCCCUCCAGUGUGUUUUUGCAGGUAAUAACAUUGCAGGUGUUUGGUUAGGUUUCCAGACCCUUGAUCCUCUUAGUCGCCCUCCUCUGCACAUGUUCCAGCUUCUCAAUAUCCUUCUUAAAUUGUGGUUCCCAAAUUGGACACAGUACUCCAGGUGUGGUCUGACCAAGGCAGAAUCCCUUCAAAUGUUACUGCUUCUGGCAGGGGAUGCCUCUUUUCUGUGACUUCUCCAGGGCCACCUACACUGACUGGCAGCACCUUUCCAGGGCUUCAGCAUGUAAUCUCUCCGAGCCCUACCUGGAGAUGCUGGGGGUUAAAUUUGGGACCUUCUGCAUGCAAGCUCUCCCAAUGAGUUCCUGCCCUCCCCCUAUUGUAUAUUGCAUUUUAUUUUAUUUUGUGAGCCAGCCAGACUGUGGCAUUUGGGCUGCCAAACAAAUACAGGAGGGGAUUGUUGUAGUUACAAGAGAAGCUGCACCUGUUGGAUUUCUUUUCCCUUUUACCCAAGUGCCAAACAUCUAGUAGUCCUCUAAUGGCCUCGAGUUGGCACUUUGAUGCUGCAAUCGUCCUUUGCAAUUCUCACUAACUAAAAACAGGAACCUGAGGUUAUUCGUGUGCCUCUUUAUGUCAAGAACAUUUUGCCCAGUGCUGGAAUGCAGCUGUUGCUGUGGAAGGAAGCACAGUAGACAUUCUGUUUAUGCCAGCAUUAUUGCACAACCGUUAGUUCAGAAGGGAAAUGGAGAAUAUUUCGUCUGUCCAAAAUAAGCUGUGGAAGUAUAGGCAGCCUCAACUAGCUCAUGAUGAAUGUGGUGUAUGUUACUAGUUAACAGGGAGGCUUCGUUGCAUGCUACAUUAGAGAGAGAUUAUCUCAAGAAACCUCCAUGCCAUUUCCAUCACGCUGCAUUUAACAUCUCAUUUGUAACAGUGCUUUAAAAGUAAUCAAAAUCUUGUUGACCUAACUAAGCUUGUCAAAUCUUAAUCCAGAGAUCAGGCCUAUACCAACCAUAAAGAGCUCUGUGACUUGCCAGACUAUGGGUAAUGCCAUAUACACUUUUUAAAAAGCAAACGUGGUUAAGCUGGUCAUUUUUAAUCUGAAGGAAAAGCAGUCAUGUGGGGCCCUGAUCUGGAAUAGCCAGAUAGUUCCAGACUGAAUGGCCUCCCCAGCCAUUCUGCUAUUUGCCCUCCAGGGUGGAACUAGCUAGCAGCUUAUCUUCCAAGUGUGACAUUAUUAUUUCAUAGAAUAAUAGAGUUGGAAGGGACCUGCGGAUCAUUCAGUCCAACCCCCUGCAAUGCAGGAAUUUGCAGCAGCCCCAUACAGGGAUCGAACCUGCAACCUUGGCGUUAUCGGCAUCACGCUCUAACUGAGCUUUAUUGCAUUAAUAGGCCAACUUUUCUUCAAGGAGCUCAAGGUAGCAUAUGUGGUUCUCCUGCUCCUCUUUUUAUCUUGAGAUCAAACCUGUGAGAUUAAGAGUUGGUGAGUGGCCCAAAGUCCCCCAGUGAGCUUCAUGGCCCAUGUGGGGAUUUGAACCCUGGUCUCCUGGUUCCUAGUCCAGCCCUCUAACCAGUGCACCAUGCUGGCAUGCCAGGUUUAUUGCCCGUACUACUAGUUUGUUUUGCUUUUUGCUGCUCCUGUCUCAUCCUGUUCUCACAAACUGAGCAGCAUGAGCGAGCGAUAAGGACAUACCCCCUCAAGUGUCCCAGAUCACAGAAGUCAUUCGUCUUGUUUUUUGGUCUGGCGACGGCAUGUAGCAAAUUAUUUUGUAUGGGAGCAAUUAGACACCAGCCUGUGAGGGCAACUGGGGGAGAUAAUGUGUGUGUGAAUAUCAUGCCUCCCUCCCUAAAUUGGGCAGAAGCUCCCCGGGCUUUGGGAAGGAGGCAUCAGGGGAAGAGUUAGGGGAUUAGCCUAGUCCCCCUAGUCCACUAACUGCACAAUGCUGCUUCAGUGGGUGAAAGCUCAUGUGGCAAUCCCCAUUCCGGGGGGGGGGGGAGUCUCCCUGCACAUAGAAAAAUAGCAAGUCAGGGAUAUGAAUUCUAGCCAGGGCCUGGUGAGGCAAGCUUGGGACAGCUGGGUGGGGCAGCAGAUCGGGCCCACGAGGACAGCGCCACUCGCUGCUUGCCACUCGCCUCCUCUGCCUGCCUCUUCCUCCUCCCUUGCCAACACUGUUGCUGUCAACCCCUGCAUCACCCUCCUUUUUGACCUCCUUCCCCCUCCCCCUUUAUUGGUGUGUGUGUGUGUGUGUCACAUUUUCUAUUUGUAGCAAAACAUUCUGGGCCAGCCCUGAUUCGAGCUAAGUUGUCUCUCCAUUACGCUAGCUUUCUGUGUGCAGGGAAGUCCCUCUUCCCCCACCGCGAACAAAAUCUAAGAUUCCAUUUUAAAGUUCUAGGGGCCAAGAGAAUAUCCAGACCAUGUGAGUCUGCUGCAUGUGAAGAUCAAUCUUAUGUCUGCAGGCUGCAGUAAGGCACAGCAUCAUUAAAUCAUGGAGUAAAGGGCUAUUUAUAAAACACAGAAACCUGCUGUUAUUUUACUUUUUUUACUCCAGGUUACCGCCGUGUGAUUUUCUUGUGGUUCUGGGAUAUUUCUAACAACUUAAAAAUAAAAAUGGGGGGGGGAGAGACACAUGGAGCUAAUGAGCCCACCUCCCCAAAUUGGCUGCUUCUAAAGUUAGGGGAAAGCUUUGUUGGGUUUUUUUAUCCUCCCUGAAGUUAUGUACAUGGGAUAUUUUCAGGUUCUGCAGACAUGAUGACUAAUAUUAGCUUCUAUUGUACAUUGCCCCAGUCUCUUUUAUGUCAAACUGUGAGAAAGCAGUGGCAUUUUUUCCCUCUCAGCUAAGGAAAAAUCAUGUGAACCAUAUUUGCUAUUCCCUUCUGGGCCAUUUGUCUUCCUUUUAUUUUUUAACUCGCAAAAGCCCGAGUAAAAUUAGUUGAUGUUUGAAUGAUAUAUUCAGUGCUUUUUUUCCAUAAAAAAUGUUUAGGGGUACUCUAAUUUUCCUACUCAUAUUGAAAUACUGCUCCUCAAUGAGGCCAAACUUAGAUUCACAAAAUGUUUAGGGGUAUGCGUCCCCCUGCGUCCCCCCAGAAAAAAGCACUGGGUAUAUUUAAAAGAGCUUCCUGCAAAACUCAGCCCCAGAUUGUUUGUGGGUCAAAUGGUAAAGGAUGAGCACGGAUUUGCACACAAUGUACUAAGUCAUGAUUGCAAAAGAAAAGAAGACCGCAGAAGGAAUCACCACCACCCAUCUAGACUUCUCCUCUCUUUACAGCGAUGUGGACAGGAGUCUGAAGUUGGGGAGUCAGGGGCUGUGUCAUGGACUGGCUGGAUGCAGAGGAAUGAUACGAGGCACCAGCUGGGGAACCCCCAAGGGAAGUAGGCUCAGAGCCAGGGAAUUGGUGGUGGGACGACAAAGAGUGGUCAGAGGGAGAAGAGGGAGCCAACUGGGAGGAGGAGGAAGCAUCAGAAGCUGAAGAGGCAACAGGGUUUAGUAAGCAGGGAAAGACUGUGUCAGAGAACAGUCCAGAAUCAGAGACAGAAGUGGAGGCUGGAGAGGAGAGGCAUUGAUGAGUCAGGCUGGUGAAGAAGCCAGGGUGUCUUCCCCUACUGCUGUGACUAACUUCUCUCCCCACUGGUGUCCCAGAACCAGAAGGGGUAUGAAGAAGGAGGAGCACAGACAGGCAUGACGACAACCUCAGAUUGCUUGGGAAGGAUCAAGGGGAGAAGACUUAAGGAACUGUGGGGAAGCGGGGACCCUCAGGCCCCACAACUGCCUCAUAGGGGCAAGAUCUACCGGGAAGAGUUGCUGUACUCACUAGGCCUGGCUUCCUGAGCUGUGUUGUUUUUUGAAUAGAGAGUUCACUUCACUGACACUGUGUGAGUUAUUACCGACCCGCUCCUGGUACCCGCUUCUGACAGACUGGAAGUUCAGACCCAAGAGCAAUCAGGGAUCAGAAAACAAACCACAAGUGGACAGAGAAAAUAUGUUCUCUCUCUCACUCUCAUAACACUGGCUGAACAUUGGAAGAUUCAGGACAGAUAAAAGGGAUUUUCCCCUGCAGCCUAUGUUUGAACUAUGGAGCUGGCUCCCACAGGAUGGCCACCAACUUGGGUGGCUUUCAAAGAGUGGUGGACAAAUUCCUGCAGAACAAGGCUAUCUAUGGCUACCAGCCCAAGAUGGCUAUGUUCUGCCUCCACAGCCAGAGGCAGUAAUGCCUCUGAAUAUGAGUUGCUGGAAAACACAGAAGAAGAAGAAGAAGAAGAAGAAGAAGAAGAAGAGGAGGAGUUUGGAUUUGAUAUCCCACCUUUCACUCCCUUUAAGGAGUCUCAAAGCGGCUCACAUUCUCCUUUCCCUUCCUCCCCCACAACAAACACUGUGUGAGGUGAGUGAGGCUGAGAGACUUCAGAGAAGUGUGACUAGCCCAAGGUCACCCAGCAGCUGCAUGUGGAGGAGCGGGGAAGCAAACCCGGUUCACCAGAUUACGAGUCUACCACUCUUAACCACUACACCACACUGGCUCUUGAGCUUGGGUCCUGCUUGAAGGUUUCCCACAGGCAUCUUGUUAGCCAUUGUGAGAACAAGAUGUUGAACUAUAUGAGCCAUUGGCCUAAUCCAGCAGAUUCUUCUUAUGUUCUUUGGAGUCAAGACCCAUGAGUCAGAAAUGAAAAUCCAAGAGUAAUCGGAAACAGAGGACAUACCAGAAAGCAGAAUGACCAAAGAACGAGAACCCAAGAGUAAGGCCAAUUACGUAUGUCAGAGCUCAAGUAGAUCAUAUUGUGCAGUCAAAGGACACUUUCUAGACUGUCCUUAUUUUGGGAUUGGAUUCAAUUGCAUACUGGCAAAUUCAAGUUGGGCAAUUAUCAUUUCAGAGCCAGUUCUGAAAAGCUGGCAUUCUUAGUUGCUGGAGAUUAUGUUAAAAGCACAGGGCAGGGAGACAGCAAUCUUCCCCACUAAUAUAUCUCUCAAAGGACCGAGAAUAAAAGCGUGAGUUCACACUGGGAAACUGGCAUCUAGGCUUGUCUAGGAAUGGGACACGAGACCCAAGAUAAAGAGACUGGAGCAUUUUGUUCCAGCUAUUUUCCCAAUGUGGAGGCCACACAGAAUUCCAAGCAAAAAUCUUGUCAGAUGUUUGGACUGACAACAAACUCUUUUAAUUAAACAAGCUGCUUCUAAGUGCUUCUUCAUCUUCAGUGAUGACAAACCAAACCCUAUUCGUUUAGUGCUGAGGGUCUCUCUCUCUCUCUCUCUCUCUCUGUAUGUGCUUAAGGAAAAUUUUAGGGCAAUUUUUAGGGCUCAGCCAAUAUCAGCACAGCUCUAAGGCAGACAGCAAGUCUCCUAAAUGGAUGGGUUUGAAUUAGAUUUUAUGCAUUCAUAUUUUUACAUGCACUAAUUAGCAGAAAAAAGACCUGCAAUUCUAUCCACACUUGUCUGAGAGGAAAUCACACUGAACUCAUAGAGAGUAAUAUGUAUACAAGUAUGCUGUAAAACUGCAAUUCUGUGCAUGUUUAUUUAGGAGCAAAUCCUAUUGAACCUCAUAGGGCUAUCUUCUGAGUAAACAUGUAUAUUAAUUUAAAUGCCAGACAUAUUUUGUACAUUCUGCUAGGGUUCUCGAUUUCUGAAGCAGGCUUCUUUCCCUCUUCAUUCCAUAUCAGUAUGCCUCGACUGCAGUUAGCAGGUGGUGAUGUUGCUCUCUACGCCAUUGCUUCCAGUCUGGAUCACUGUAAUUAAGGUGCCCAUGUGCAAAAGAUGAUGGCACCCUUGAUCCCUUAAUAGUUGCAGAGAAUGGGGAUUAUCAGCAGUUAUAUGUAGUUUAAGAUUGCCCUGGAAGACAGUCUAGAAACUUCAAUUGGUUCCAAAGGCUGUGGCCAGAUUUGUGUCUGGAGCUGGUAGGAUGGACCAUAUAAGCCAAUUUAAUGGGCUUCCUAUUUGUUUCCAGGUUCAGUUCAAGGUGUCAGCUUUGGCUCUUAAAUCCCUAAACAGACUGGGACCAGCUGUUGGCAUCUACCUGCCUCAAGAGACAGUGGAGUGCACCUGGGGGGGGGGGCGUUGAAGCCAAACUGCUCUGAGGGCAGCAACUGAAGUGACCUCUCCGGGGCACAAGCCUGGGCAGUGUGGAUGGAGGUUGUUAUGUACUGAAGUUCUCACCCUGGGCCAGCAGGGGGAUACUGUAGUUUUCACUCAGGUCCACAUAUGCAAAUAAGGAAUUGAAAGUGACAUUCAGUGAUUGGAUAGUUACAGAAAGUUGUUACCGUUGCGUUGUAGUGGAGCUCUAUAUAAGCAGGCUGGCUGAAGCCGUCAUUUCAGUUCUGUUCUGGCCUGUGAAUAAACAAGAGCUGGUU